UAUGAAGGUUUAGAGUCAUAAGUAAGACUGUCCUAUAGACACAUGAAGAUAUGUUUAUCAUCUCUGGCCAUAAAAGAAAUGCAAAUCAAAACAGCAUUGAGAUUCCACCUCACCCAAUUAGAAUGGCCAUUAUCAAGAAAUGUAACAAUAAUAGAUGCUGGCAGUGAUGUGGCCAA